UUUAGUAAGUUUGGAUAUCAAUAUCAAAACAUUAUGUUGAUGAACAUAUCAACCGUGUGAAAAUCUAGUCCAAAUUUGACUCAUACUCUAUGGAAAUAAACCAUAUUGCUCACCGUUAUAUAGGGGUGCAAAAGCAUUUGAGCCUAAACUCUCUUUCCAAGCUGCUAUAAAUCCUAUACCAAACCAAAAAAAAAAAAAAAAUUGCGCCAACCCGGCAAGCGUCGGCCAGGGCUUCCAGGGCCUUUCUUCUCUCUCACAGCUUGUUCUCCGCCACCGUCGCCGCCUCCGCCGCGGCUGCGUCCAUCACGGCCGGGAGGCCCUUCGCUUCCACGCUAUUUUCGGCCUUUGGACUUGAGGGUCUUGCACUGAUGUCACUAAGGCGCUUUAUUUGCCUCUUUUGGAACCUUUCACACCUGUAGAAGAUGAUGAUGAUUUCCGUCAGAUGCACCAGAAGAGAGGCUUGGAGAUUUAGUUACACCUGUCCAGAAUUCUGUGAAACAAAUUAUCUGUGAUAUGUUCCUAUGUCAGCCAGAUGCAGAGCUUAAAGAGGGUUGCCAACUCUAUUGUCAGCAGAACAACUUUCAGAGGGUUUGAACUUGUUAUCGAAUCCAGAAACUUUUCUGGAUAGCUUAUUCUAGUGAAGUGUAGAGCCCAGCUCUUUCUUGAUCAUCAGUUGGUAAAGAUCAGAUGGACACAUAGACAUUCUGACUGUAAAGUCAUAACAGUGAAUAUUUAAGUCAUGAAGAUAACUAUGCCAGGAUGUAAAUGCUAUAAUAUAUUGUCAACAAAAUCUGCUAUCUCCAGAUGUCCAUGGUGGCCAAGUAUGGACUCCAUGGACAAUGAGAACUCAUCAUCGUAGUCCGAUCAAAAGUGACAUCGAGCAAGGUGUAUAAGAGGGCCUGGUUUAGCUUUUCGAAAGCAAAAAAGUCUCUUGGAAAUCCAAGGAUAAGGAAACAUACUAGUGGAGCAUCAGCUACUGCCUCCUGUAAUAGAGGUGAGUGGCAUUUUUAAUCUGAUGGAUUGAGUCAACUUCUUAAUGACUUUGCUAUAUUUUCCAGAGCUGAUGAAGUUCCAACUUGUGAGAUAGAAAAUUGCUUGUUGGGCUACCAUAGUAGGCGACAUUGCCUCUCAGUUGAAGAUCCUCUUGUUUCACUCUUUCUAUAUGCUCCAGUAUAGGGAUGCUAUUGAGCAGUCCCAUGCAAUCUUUUUGAGCUUGUCUCUUUAUUUGUUUCUCCAUUUAUUGUAAAGGCUGUUGAUUGUAUACAGAACCGGUGGUAGUUGACCUAAGGAACAGAGUAUUGACCAUACCAAGCUUGCGAAUGCGUAGGUCAUAAUUAGUAGUUUCUUCUACUUCUACACAUAUGAUGCAUCGUAUUGUUUCAAGCUUCUUCUUCUUUAAAACUUUUGUUGUGUGGGUCUUAUUGUGAUAAAUUAACCAAUUAAAAAGCUUGACCUUUUCUA